GAAUAUUGGGCAAUGGUCGGAAGACUGACCCAGCCAUGCCGCGUGCAGGAAGACGGCCCUAUGGGUUGUAAACUGCUUUUGUCGGGGAAUAAACCUGCCCACGUGUGGGCAGCUGAAGGUACCCGGCGAAUAAGCAUCGGCUAACUCCGUGCC
rnacentral:rRNA from 1 species